ACAGAAACACAAUAGAUGAUAUCGUUACCCUAAUCUCUCUGUCUACACCGCGUCUCGGUGAGAAACAAAGCAAGAACCGAAAGAAACGAAAAUACAAGAAGAAGGAGCUAUACAGGAACUAGGUCAUGUCUGGUAUGUAUGGUCAAGACGGUGAUUCUGGCCCUCCGUCUUAUGGCGGCGGAGGUGGAUAUGGAGGUUACGGAGGCGAUGGUGGCGGGCGUGGUGGAUAUGGUGGUCGAGGUGGUGGUGGAGGCGGGGGAAGAGGCGGAGGAGGAGGAGGAUAUGGUGGUCCUUCGCAAAGUCGAGGAGGUGGAUACCAAGGAGGAGAUCGGGGAGGCAGAGGAGGCGGCGGAAGAGGUGGUGGCAGAGGUGGAAGCGGCAGGGAAGGUGAUUGGCCUUGCCCUAAACCAGGUUGUGGGAAUUUGAACUUUGCAAGAAGAGUUGCUUGUAAUAAAUGCGGUACUCCUGCUCCUGCUGCUGGCCAAAAUGAUCGCAGUGAUGGUGAUGGUGGUUAUAGAGGAGGAAGUGGUGGAGGAUUUGGUGGUAACAGAGGAGGAAGAGGUGGUGAUAGUUAUGAUGGUAAUAGAAGUAGUAAUUAUAACGAUGGAAGCAGAGGAGGUGGUUAUGAUAAUAGAAGUGGGAAUAGAGGUGGGUCUUACAGUGGUAAUCAAGGAAGAGAUGAUAGUGGAUACAAUCAAGCUCCACCACCAUCUCUCCCUUCAUAUGGUGGUGGUGGUGGAGGUAAUUAUCCACCGGCUCCGAACUCGUAUGGUGGGAAUGCUAAUUACGGAAUGGAAGCAGUUCCUCCACCUACAAGCUAUACUGGUGGACCCACAUCAUACCCUCCAUCUUAUGGUGGUCCUGCUAGUGGUUAUGGGGGUGAUGCUACAGGUGAGGUGAGGAGUGGUGGACGAGGUGGUCAACCUGGUGGGUAUGAAGGUGGACGUGGUGGUGGCGGUUCUCGAAAUCAGGGAGGUAGUGGUUAUGGGGCUGCUCCUGCUGAUGCCCCGGCUAAAAUUAAGCAGUGCGAUGAUAAUUGUGGCGAUACUUGUGACAAUGCAAGAAUAUAUAUAUCUAAUUUGCCACCUGAUGUGACCAUUGAAGAACUGAGAGAACUUUUUGGCGGCAUUGGACAAGUUGGAAGGAUUAAGCAGAAGCGGGGCUAUAAAGAUCAAUGGCCCUGGAAUAUAAAGAUAUACACUGAUGAGAAUGGAAACAACAAAGGUGAUGCCUGUUUGGCAUAUGAAGACCCAUCUGCUGCUCACUCUGCUGGCGGUUUUUACAACAAUUAUGAUUUCAGGGGCUAUAAAAUCAAUGUUGCAAUGGCAGAAAAGUCAGCUCCGAGGCAACCUGCACAUGACCAUGGUGGUGGUAGAGGUGGCUAUGGUGGUGGAGGUCGACGCAGGGAUAAUUACCGAGAUGGUGGGAAUUCUGGUCCAGACAGGCAUCAAUAUGGUGGAAAUCGAUCACGUCCUUACUGAGAGUGUCAUCUGAGCUGUUUAUGUACUAAGAAUUAUGAUCUGAGGGAUUUAAUUAUAUUCCUUUUCCUGGGGUUGUUCUUGAACUGGAGACUAAGAGAGGCAAGUGGAUAAUCUCCAAAUUGCUUGCUGCUAAGGUAGGUUGAUAUUUUCAGUGUUCGAGAGAGCAAAUCAGUUCGACUGACCACAUGCCAUCAAAGGGUGGCGUCCUGCAUCUUGAAACUGUUCAUCUCUAGUGUCUCGGCUUCCAAAUCGUUAACCUGCAGUAACAUGGAAGCCGCUCGAAUUCUGCAAAGAAACUCCCUGUUUUUGGUGUGUGGGGCCUCUGGUGGCUUGUUAUUGAGACAAUUGCCAUUGUUUAUCUGAGACAAAAUUGACUGCUUCGUUAGUGUUCCCACGCGACCUCUGGCAAUCGGAUAUCUUUGCUGUUCCUGGCAUUAGUCUUCUACCAUUUCGGUGUUUCACAAAGCAAAAGUUUAGGCGGUUUUAGACAUUUUUAUUGCAUUGCAAGUAGAUUGACUGGUUUAGAGUUGUGUUUCAUUGACAAAUUGUUGUUAUUCAUGUAAAACUAAUGUGGUUCCAAAUCAUUUUGUAUGGAUUUUGGGUGAGUUGAUUUA